AGGGGGGUUUAAUCUGGACUGAGCUGGAGGAAAGGAAUAGGUGCCAGAGUAGAGGCUGGAAGGAUGGUGGAACUGGCACUGGGCCGGAACACAGUAAAUGGAAUCUAAUGCUAUUGCUCUGGCCAUAGCAAAUAAAAGUGUCAAAUUUGAGUACCCUUACCUUGUGCUGAAUCAUAGAGGAAACCUUUCCGUUUUUCUCCAUUGAUUAUGAUGUUAGCAGUGAGCUUUUCACAUAUAGGCUUUAUUGCAUUGAGGCUGGAGUGCAGUGGCACGAUCUCAGAUCACUGCAACCUCCGCCUCCUGGCUUCAAGCAAUUUUCCUGCCUCAGCCUUCCGAGUAGCUGGGACUACAGGCACGUGCCACUACACCCAGCUAAGUUUUUAUAUUUUAGUAGAGACAGGGUUUCACUAUGUUGGCCAGGGUGGUCUUGAUCUCUUGACCUCGUGAUCCGCCCACCUCGGCCUCCCAAAGUGCUGGGACUACAGGCAUGAGCCACUGCGCCUGGCCU